CUUCCGUAGGGUGAACCUGCGGAAGGAUCAUUACCGAGUGAGGGCCCUCUGGGUCCAACCUCCCACCCGUGUUUAUUUUACCUUGUUGCUUCGGCGGGCCCGCCUUAACUGGCCGCCGGGGGGCUUACGCCCCCGGGCCCGCGCCCGCCGAAGACACCCUCGAACUCUGUCUGAAGAUUGAAGUCUGAGUGAAAAUAUAAAUUAUUUAAAACUUUCAACAACGGAUCUCUUGGUUCCGGCAUCGAUGAAGAACGCAGCGAAAUGCGAUACGUAAUGUGAAUUGCAAAUUCAGUGAAUCAUCGAGUCUUUGAACGCACAUUGCGCCCCCUGGUAUUCCGGGGGGCAUGCCUGUCCGAGCGUCAUUGCUGCCCUCAAGCCCGGCUUGUGUGUUGGGCCCCGUCCCCCGAUCUCCGGGGGACGGGCCCGAAAGGCAGCGGCGGCACCGCGUCCGGUCCUCGAGCGUAUGGGGCUUUGUCACCCGCUCUGUAGGCCCGGCCGGCGCUUGCCGAUCAACCCAAAUUUUUAUCCAGGUGACCUCGGAUCAGUAGGAUCCUU
rnacentral:rRNA from 1 species